AGAAACAUGCCUGUCAACAACUUGAUUUUAGUUCACUAAAAUUCAUGCCUGAUUUCUGACUUGUGUACACUGUAAGAUGACAAGUUUGUGUUAUUUUAGGUCACUUAGUUUGUAGAAAUUUGUUACAGCAGUAAUAGAACAAGUGGUUAUCCAUAUGAGGCAAAUUAGAUUGGAUACCUAUCUCCAAUAGAAAUCAAUUCAAGGUGAAUUCCAGGAAAAUACUUAAAGAAAAAUAAGACAUAGAACAAGCAAAAUGCAUAAACAAAAGAAGGCAAAACAAAAAUAAUGACUCAUAAUUAUAUGAAAAGAAACUCAUCUUCAUAGAUGAGCAGAUAAAUGCAAAUUAAAACCACCCUGAGAUGCUUUUUACAUCCAUGAGCCUGAUAAAAGUUAGAGUCUAAAAGUAAUAAUUAACAAAGAUGGGAAGUAACAGAAAAUCUUGUCCAUUACUGGUUAAAGUAUAAACUGAUACAGCUACUUUAUAGAAUAUUACAUUAUAGAAUAAAGUUGUGAGUAUGUAUAUGCAGUGACUCAGCAUAUUCAUUGCUAGUAUGUACUCAAGAGAAACUUACAGGAGUGGACUAGGAAGUAAACACAAAAUGAUUACAACAUUGUUUGUUAUAUCAAAAAAUAAAAAAGACACCCAAUUUUCCAGCAAAAAAAAUAAGUAAAAAUAAAUCCUGGUGUAUUCUAACAAUGGAAUAAUAUAUAGCCAUUAAAAUAAAUCAACUAUUACUGUACAUAUGAAUGUAAGUAUCAGCAAAACAUAUUGUUUAGUGAAAAACUAAGAAGCUGAAGAAGAAUAUAUACAAUAUGGUUACAUUUAUAUGAAGUCCAAAAACUUGCAAAAUAAAGAAAUGUAUUUAGAAAUAGAUUCACAUGUGAGAAAACUAGAAGAAAAUUAAUGAAAGGAUAAGAGGGAUAGCAGUAAUUCUGAGUAGUUGAGGGAAUUUCAAUUGGAAAAAAAUAAUAUCAUAUUCUUUAAGUCAGGUAGUGGGUAUUAGCAUUUGUUUUACCAUCGUUCUUUAUUCUUAUAGCUACACUAUAUAUUUUCAAUGUAUUUAAUGUAUUUUUUGCAUAAUUAAAUAUUAUGCAAUAAAAAUGAGAAAACAAAAAAGUAGAAAAUGAUAAAUUACAAUAAAGAAAUGGAGAAAAAAUUAUAAUCUAGUUGAGUAAUGGUAUAUUACAUAGCUAUUUUCUUAAGUAGAUGUAUAUACAUGAUGUAUGCACGAUUGUACAUACAUGUUCUUAAUUAUAUAUAAAUAUAUAUGUACAUAUUUUUAAUAUAAAAUACUAAACAAAGUACACCAAAAUAUUAGCUCCUAUGUUAGUGAGAUAAUGUUUUUUUUUUUGUAUUUUAAGUUUUACAUAGUAGGUGUAUUUUUCUGUUUUCAUACUGCUAUAAAGAAAUGCCCAAGACUGGGUAAUUUAUAAAGGAAAGAAGUUUAAUUGGCUCACAGUUCAGCACAGCUUGGGAGGCCUCAGGAAAUCUACAAUCAUGGCGGAAGACAAAGAGGAAGCAAGCCAGCUUCUUCGCAAGGCAGCAUGAAGAAGUGCCGAGCAAAGGGGAAAGAAUCCCUUAUAAAACCAUCAAAUCUCGUGAGAACUCACUAUCACAAGAACAGCACAGGGGAAACUGCCCCCAUGAUUCAAUUACCUCCACCUGGUCUCUCCCUUGACCUGUGGGGAUUAUGGGGGCUAUGGGGAUUACAAUUCAAGACGAGAUUCAGGUGGGGAUACAAAGCCUAACCAUAUCAGUAGGCAUGUAUUGAAUUUUAAACUCAGAGAAAAAUACUAGUGUUUUUAUAGGAUUCUUACUAAAGAAAAACCAGAAAGUAAUAAACCAUCUACGCUAAGACAUAAAAUUCAGUUGUUUAGUUACAAGAUAGAAUGUGGCCUUGUAAGAAAGCAAAUUAACUUCUAACAUACAAAGCCUUAGAGAAGAUUCAAGUGACUGACGGAUCUUAAACAGAGCUAUUAUUACAACUCGAACUGCAGUAAAAUAUCCUCAGCAACAUAGAUGUGUGUGUUUCACUAGUCAGAGCAAUACAAAUUUAAUGAAACUCCAUUGGUGGUGUUUUUAAUCAGACAAUUUCUGAAGAUGUCCUGGCUUAUUCACAGAUGCAAGCCAAAUAGUACCAUAAUAAGAAAAAAAAGAAUACAGGCAAUUGAGAGCUGUUCCAAAGUUUAGGGAGUUUUUGUAAGGAAUUAAUAAAUAAAAAUGUUCUUGACAGAGAGAAAUUAAUAUGCAGUUCAUACUGCCAGAAUUGCAGGCAAUUUAUCAAAGUCCCCUAAUCCUCCAAAAUCGCUAUUUUUUUUUGACACACACUUUACAGUACAGAAGAAAAUGUCUCCGGCAAUAAAUCACAAAGUUAAAAUUACCUAGUCUACAAUUAACUACACAGUGAUGGUAAAUCAUUUUCUACCAAAAGAAAGAAAUGUCUUGUCUAUUCAGGUUCUGCUCUACUUAAAAGUUUUCCUUGUUGGCGAGCAAGUGGUUAGAAAAUCAUAUUUUAUACGUACAUUCAGCUUAACUAUCAUUCAGCUCAGGAAGAUGACUCAGGGCCUUAUCCAUACCUUCAAGAUUGCUCUUAGCAAGUAAUUGUUUCAGUAUCUAUAUCAAAAAUGGCUUAAGCGUGCAACAUGUUUCUGAAUGAUUAACAAGGUGAUAGUCAGUUCUUCAUUGAAUCCUGGAUGCUUUAUUUUUCUUAAUAAGAGGAAUUCAUAUGGAUCAGCUAGAAAAAAAUUAAGAGGAAAAUCACAUGGAAAGUUAUAUAUUAUAUAUCUAUUAUAUAUAAUAUUAUAUAUCUAUUAUAUAUUAUAUAUUGUAUAUCUAUUACAUAUAUAAUAUAUAUGUAUUAUAUAUAUUAUAUAUUAUAUAUCUAUUAUAUAUAUAAUAUUUUAUAUUAUAUAUCAUUUCCAAAUUCCCCAGCGUUCAUAUUUGUCAGUGCAAGUAAAGAGCCUUACUGCUGAUGAGGUUUGAGGUAUGACCAUUUGGCCAGAAUUUAUGAACUCUACAUGUCGCUUGAUGUGUGCUUCAGGGUACACUUUUUUUUUUUUUUUGAGACGGAGUCUUGCUCUGUCGCCCAGGCUGGAGUGCAGCGGUGCGAUCUCAGCUCACCGCAAGCUCCGUCUCCCGGGUUCACGCCAUUCUCCUGCCUGAGCCUCCUGAGUAGCUGGGACUACAGGUGCCCGCCACUAUGCCCUGCUAAUUUUUUGUAUUUUUAGUACAGACGGGGUUUCACCGUGUUAGCCAGGAUGGUCUCGAUCUCCUGACCUCGUGAUCCACCCGCCUCGGCCUCCCAAAGUGCUGGAAUUACAGGUGUGAGCCACCACGCCCGGCCAGGGUACACUUUUAAGCAGAG
rnacentral:lncRNA from 1 species